rnacentral:rRNA from 1 species
GAUGAACGCUGGCGGCGUGCCUAAUACAUGCAAGUCGAGCGAACAGAUGAGGAGCUUGCUCCUCUGACGUUAGCGGCGGACGGGUGAGUAACACGUGGAUAACCUACCUAUAAGACUGGGAUAACUUCGGGAAACCGGAGCUAAUACCGGAUAAUAUAUUGAACCGCAUGGUUCAAUAGUGAAAGACGGUUUUGCUGUCACUUAUAGAUGGAUCCGCGCCGCAUUAGCUAGUUGGUAAGGUAACGGCUUACCAAGGCAACGAUGCGUAGCCGACCUGAGAGGGUGAUCGGCCACACUGGAACUGAGACACGGUCCAGACUCCUACGGGAGGAAGCAGUAGGGAAUCUUCCGCAAUGGGCGAAAGCCUGACGGAGCAACGCCGCGUGAGUGAUGAAGGUCUUCGGAUCGUAAAACUCUGUUAUUAGGGAAGAAAAAAUGUGUAAGUAACUAUGCACGUCUUGACGGUACCUAAUCAGAAAGCCACGGCUAACUACGUG